rnacentral:rRNA from 1 species
AGCGAACGCUGGCGGCAGGCCUAACACAUGCAAGUCGAACGAACCUUUCGGGGUUAGUGGCGGACGGGUGAGUAACACGUGGGAACGUGCCUUUAGGUUCGGAAUAACUCAGGGAAACUUGUGCUAAUACCGAAUGUGCCCUUCGGGGGAAAGAUUUAUCGCCUUUAGAGCGGCCCGCGUCUGAUUAGCUAGUUGGGUGAGGUAAUGGCUCACCAAGGCGACGAUCAGUAGCUGGUCUGAGAGGAUGAUCAGCCACAUUGGGACUGAGACACGGCCCAAACUCCUACGGGAGGCAGCGGUGGGGAAUCUUGCGGAAUGGGCGAAAGCCUGACGCAGCCAUGCCGCGUGAAUGAUGAAGGUCUUAGGAUUGUAAAAUUCUUUCACCGGGGACGAUAAUGGCGGUACCCGGAGAAGAAGCCCCGGCUAACUUCGUG